AGAGUUUGAUCAUGGCUCAGAUUGAACGCUGGCGGCGUGCCUAACACAUGCAAGUCGAGCGGUAACAGGUGUAGCAAUACAUGCUGACGAGCGGCCAUCGGGUGAGUAAUGCUUCGGAAUCUGCCCAAUGGUGGGGAAUAACCAGCCCAUAGGUUGGCUAAUACCGCCAAAAGUCCUACGGGAGAAAGCAGGGGAUCGCAAGACCUUGCGCCGAUGGUGAGCCCAUGUCGGAUUAGCUAGUUGGUAGGGUAACGGCCUACCAAGGCGACGAUCCGUAGCUGGUCUGAGAGGACGACCAGCCACACUGGGACUGAGACACGGCCCAGACUCCUACGGGAGGCAGCAGUGGGGAAUAUUGGACAAUGGGGGAAACCCUGAUCCAGCGACGCCGCGUGUGUGAAGAAGGCCUGCGGGUUGUAAAGCACUUUUAGUGGGGAUGAAAAGCUCAGGGCUAACACCUCUGGGUCUUGACCUAACCCACAGAAAAAGCACCGGCUGACUCUGUGCCAGCAGCCGCGGUAAUACAGAGGGUGCAAGCGUUAAUCGGAAUUACUGGGCGUAAAGCGUGCGUAGACGGUUAUGUAAGUCGGGUGUGAAAGCCCCGGGCUCAACCUGGGAAUGCCAUUCGAGACUGCCAAAGCUAGGGUGCGGAAGAGGGAAGCGGAAUUUCCGGUGUAGCGGUGAAAUGCGUAGAUAUGGAAGGAACACCAGUGGCCAUAGCGGCUCCCUGGUCCAGCACCGACGUUCAGGCACCAUAGCGUGGGGAGCAAACAGGAUUAGAUACCCUGGUAGUCCACGCCCAAAAACGAUGAGAACUAGACGUUGAGAGGGUAAGCCUCGCAGUGUCGUAGCUAACGGCUAAGUU
rnacentral:rRNA from 1 species